AGAGGGUGCGAGCGUUAAUCGGAAUUACUGGGCGUAAAGCGCACGUAGUCGGCUUUGCAAGUCGGUUGUGAAAUCCCCGGGCUCAACCUGGGAACUGCAUCCGAGACUGCAUUGCUAGAGUAUGGGAGAGGGAAGCGGAAUUUCUGGUGUAGCAGUGAAAUGCGUAGAUAUCAGAAGGAACAUCAGUGGCGAAGGCGGCUUCCUGGACCAAUACUGACGAUCAGGUGCGAAAGCGUGGGGAGCAAACAGGAUUAGAUACCCUGGUAGUCCACGCCCUAAACGAUGACAACUGGAUGUCGGGAGGGUUUGCCUUCCGGUGUCGUAGCUAACGCGUUAAGUUGUCCGCCUGGGAAGUACGGCCGCAAGGUUG
rnacentral:rRNA from 1 species